rnacentral:rRNA from 1 species
CAAUAGCGUAUGUUAAAGUUGUUGCAGUUAAAAAGCUCGUAGUUGGAUUUGUGGCGUACGGUGGGUUCCGGGCACUUGUUGUCUGAGUAACUUGCUGUUGCCAUCCUUGGGUGGAACCUGUGUGGCAUUAGGUUGUCGUGCAGGGGAUGCCCAUCAUUUACUGUGAAAAAAUUAGAGUGUUCAAAGCAGGCUUAUGCCGUUGAAUAUAUUAGCAUGGAAUAAUGAGAUAGGACUUUUUUGCUAUUUUGUUGGUUUGCGCAAAGAGGUAAUGAUUAAUAGGGACAGUUGGGGGUAUUCGUAUUCCAUUGUCAGAGGUGAAAUUCUUGGAUUUUUGGAAGACGAACUACUGCGAAAGCAUUUACCAAGGAUGUUUUCAUUAA